rnacentral:piRNA from 1 species
UGAUACGGAGAAAAUCCACUUACUGUGGAAGA